CUAUGCGUGUUUGGAUGCUUUUCAGUUGAAUGUCUGAAUCGGGUUUUAUUCACUCUUCUAAUACCAAACUGCCACAAAACACCAGUUUAGAACUUCCAGUGCCUCCCUAGAUUAUGGAAAUGAUAGAGCUGGGUGUCAUCUGCAAUUCUUUGGGGUGGGGGAGGGGAAGGGGAGAAAGGCUAAGCUGAAUCCAUGUCCCUCUAGCAGAAUUUACCCCAUUCUUCCUCAAGCUAUCAGUAAGAACUAGACAGUUGUCAGAUUUCCCUUCCCUCCCCAAAGAAACCUAUGGUAUCAAGCUUACAUUUAAAAAUCAUAUUAUUCAUCAAAUUAUUCAGUUUUUUCAAAACAUAAUUUUCCAGAUGCUAUUCUGCCCCUACAUUUCCUUCUCUACUCUUGUAACAGCUAACAAAGCAGUUAUCCACGCAGAACUACAGGAGAGCAACAAUCUGAGGUAGACUAGAAGGGCCCUUCGGACAUCCAGGGAAUGCAGGGCUUUUUCAAGAGCCGUGCUCUGAAUGCUGAAGAAGGAGGCCAUAAGGCCUAGUAGGCCUGAAUCUGUCUUGCACGCUGUAUUGGACCGGACUGGAACUGAUGUAAAAGUUCCACAAUGGUUUGGAAUCUAUUGUGAACUCACUCAGAUCAAGGAACCAGCACGAGGAACCAUAGUGACCGAGGAACCGAUUGCUACAGCGGUUGCAAAGGAACUGAAGUACCGGUGCUUCCUCCUGCCUUAAAUAGCCACGUGGCCAAAUGGGGUGGGGUGCAAGUGCCAGGAGGAGCUGUGGUACUCCACACCGACAGGCUUCAGUGCAGGGGCAGAACCCAUUCUAAUAGAUUCAAUGGAUCACACCCCAGAUUUUUUAGUAAUAUUUAAGAACCAAUCUAUUUUAUAUAAAUUGUUUUGAAUGAGCAGUCUAGAACAAACCUACCUUUAAUUGGU